rnacentral:piRNA from 1 species
UACUAUGUUGGGCCUGAGGCGAUACCUGA